CCUACGGGAGGCAGCAGUGAGGAAUAUUGGUCAAUGGACGAGAGUCUGAACCAGCCAAGUAGCGUGAAGGAUGACUGCCCUAUGGGUUGUAAACUUCUUUUAUAUGGGAAUAAAACGUUCCACGUGUGGGAUUUUGUAUGUACCAUAUGAAUAAGGAUCGGCUAACUCCGUGCCAGCAGCCGCGGUAAUACGGAGGAUCCGAGCGUUAUCCGGAUUUAUUGGGGUUAAAGGGAGCGUAGGUGGAUUGUUAAGUCAGUUGUGAAAGUUUGCGGCUCAACCGUAAAAUUGCAGUUGAAACUGGCAGUCUUGAGUAAAGUAGAGGUGGGCGGAAUUCGUGGUGUAGCGGUGAAAUGCUUAGAUAUCACGAAGAACUCCGAUUGCGAAGGCAGUUCACUGGACUGCAACUGACACUGAGGCUCGAAAGUGUGGGUAUCAAACAGGAUUAGAUACCCCAGUAGUC
rnacentral:rRNA from 1 species